AUUGAACGCUGGCGGCAGGCCUAACACAUGCAAGUCGAGCGGAUGAAGGGAGCUUGCUCCUGGAUUCAGCGGCGGACGGGUGAGUAAUGCCUAGGAAUCUGCCUGGCAGUGGAGGAUAACGUCCGGAAACGGGCGCUAAUACCGCAUACGUCCUGAGGGAGAAAGUGGGGGAUCUUCGGACCUCACGCUAUCAGAUGAGCCUAGGUCGGAUUAGCUAGUUGGUGGGGUAAAGGCCUACCAAGGCGACGAUCCGUAACUGGUCUGAGAGGAUGAUCAGUCACACUGGAACUGAGACACGGUCCAGACUCCUACGGGAGGCAGCAGUGGGGAAUAUUGGACAAUGGGCGAAAGCCUGAUCCAGCCAUGCCGCGUGUGUGAAGAAGGUCUUCGGAUUGUAAAGCACUUUAAGUUGGGAGGAAGGGCAGUAAGUUAAUACCUUGCUGUUUUGACGUUACCAACAGAAUAAGCACCGGCUAACUUCGUG
rnacentral:rRNA from 1 species